UCCGGCCGGCCGCAAAGCGACCUCUUCCCUUCGUGAAGACUCCUCACAAAUCGGGCGAAGAAGCUUGGGGAUCCGAAGGUCUUCCUCUCCGAUUUUGUCGCCGGAAAGGCCGCCGGAGCACCCCCAUCGGACCGAGGGGAAGAGUCAGCGGUGCCAGGAGGUUUUGAUCAGGGGACUCAGCACCCCAGCUCGUAGGUUGUGAUCCAGAUCUGUAUUUGAGUCUGUCUACAAUUUCUAGUUGCAGGAUGCAUAGAUUUGGAUGGGAUGGGCGCAG